rnacentral:tRNA from 1 species
GCGAGUGUGGCGGAACAGGCAGACGCAACGGACUUAAAAUCCGUCGCCCCAAAAGGGCGUAUCGGUUCGACUCCGAUCACUCGCACCA